rnacentral:rRNA from 1 species
GAUGAACGCUGGCGGCGUGCCUAAUACAUGCAAGUCGAGCGAACGGACGAGAAGCUUGCUUCUCUGAUGUUAGCGGCGGACGGGUGAGUAACACGUGGAUAACCUACCUAUAAGACUGGGAUAACUUCGGGAAACCGGAGCUAAUACCGGAUAAUAUUUUGAACCGCAUGGUUCAAAAGUGAAAGACGGUCUUGCUGUCACUUAUAGAUGGAUCCGCGCUGCAUUAGCUAGUUGGUAAGGUAACGGCUUACCAAGGCAACGAUGCAUAGCUGACCUGAGAGGGUGAUCGGCCACACUGGAACUGAGACACGGUCCAGACUCCUACGGGAGGCAGCAGUAGGGAAUAUUCCGCAAUGGGCGAAAGCCUGACGGAGCAACGCCGCGUGAGUGAUGAGGGUCUUCGGAUCGUAAAACUCUGUUAUUAGGGAAGAACAUAUGUGUAAGUAACUGUGCACAUCUUGACGGUACCUAAUCAGAAAGCCACGGCUAACUACGUG